UCGAUCAAUAUUUGAUCAACGACCCAAAUUAAAUCCCCACCUUUAAUCCUAUCAGAUCCCCAAAACAUAGAAACCCUAGCCCCUAAUAGACUCACCUCUCCCAUCGCCGCCUGCUCCCAUCUUCUCCUUUCUUCUUUUUCCUCCUUCCCCACGCCAAAGGACACCAUGGCAGACGAAGCCCAUAUCUCUCUCGUCCUUUCCUCACUAUUCACAAUGUCACCAUGGUACUCGAAGCCAUGGAAAAGCUUCCACUCCGCCAAAUCCUCAACGAUUUCGAAUCUAGGGAAUCAAAAUUGAAAUCGAUUCAAAUACUCUUGGACCCAUUUCGUUGCUCAAAAUCAGGUAAACUCGCUUCCCAUUUCUCUUUUGCUUUUUUAAUGUUUUUAGCCUGAAAAUGUUACUCGCCGUCGUUCUUAUUUUAUCAUUUUAUACGGUUGAAAUCUCCACUUUAAUAUGUGUUAUUUGCUAGACGGUUGAAAUCCCGACUGAAAUAUAUAUUAUUUUUUUAUCUCGUUGAGACGGUUGAAAUCCGAUUGAAAAAAUGUGUUAUUUUCUGAUUUAGUUAGCCUUGCUCGAAGAAUGUGAUUUGCUUUUUUCUGUAUUUGUAUAUUCUGUCACUCUAUGUUGGUUUAGUUGGUUUUAUUUUCGAGAUUGAAGGAGGGGCAUAUUAAUUUUAGUUUGGGUCUUAGUUUAGAUUCAGUCACUUUCUUUUGUUUAUUCUGAUUUGCUUCAUUUCGGAUGGAAAAUAAUUAAGAAUUUAGAAUUUUUUCUGAGUUGAAUAUACUACGGUUCUAUUUUGUUAAGUUUCUGCCUGGGGGAUGAUCACGUCUUCGUUUUAGUUGUAAGUUUCAUAAAGUUCGCGAUUAGGGUUUUUGGGCCAAGAAUGGGCUGCUUUUCUUCAGUUUUUCCCUUUAGAUCAACUUCAAAAUUUAUUUGUUUUCUCGUUAAAAAAUCUGUCCAGAUUUACUUCAACUUGUUUAAGUUUAAUUAGAAUCCAAUUUUUCCGACUGGUUUAGUUUGUUAAAUAUAUAUAUGUGUGUUUGGUUGAGGUCAUAACUUGUUUUGGUUGAGGUCAUAACUUGUUUAAGGUUUUUAAGAAAUGUUCGUGGACAGUAUGAACAGUCACAAGCUUCAGUUUGUCUAAAGUGGCUUACUUUCAACAGGUUUCCAAGGCGGGUUUUAAAAUAGUCGACUUUAGUUCAGUUUUUGAUUAAUUAGUCGUUGCCCUCUCACCUCUCGUUAGUAGAGUUUAAAUGUUUGGAGAUUAUGAAAAUCAACGAGUACAGAAGUUUAGGUUUGAAGAUCUAGUUUAAAGCUAGGUUUGAGAUUCGCUUAAGUUUGAGCUUAAGAUCUAGAUUAAGCGUUGAUGUAUUGGUAGCGUAGUUUUCUCUCGUCUUUUCCUUUUACUAUUAAGUCCAAGUCCGUUCGCUCUUUACUUGUUUGUUUAUGAGUCCUUGUCCCUGUUUUAGGAUCUAGUUUAAAGCUAGGUUCGAGAUUUGCUUAAGUUUGAGUUUAAAAUUCAGUUCUAGAUCAAGCGUUGAUGUAUUGGUAGCGUAGUUUUCUCUCGUCUUUUCCUUUUACUAUGAAGUCCAAGUCCGUUCGCUCUUUACUUGUUUGUUUAUGAGUCCUUGUCCCUGUUUUAGGUACUUACUUCGUUAAAAAACAUAGAGUAAGAAUUCCAUUCUAGACUAGUUCAUUUUUUUCUUUCUCUAAGAAAAAUUUAUGAUGUUCGCCCUAUUUAUUACCAUCAACUUGAAUACCUUCAGGAGUAGUUAACCACUUGUAAAUGUUUCUUGUUCUUGAAUUGGUUUUGAUAUCCUUUAUUUCCUUUAGCAUAUAAAAUAUGUUGGCUGUGAAUUGUCACUCAAAAUGGACUAAGAAUAUAGCCAAUACCUGGUUGUAUGUUUUUCCCAAAAUGAUGAGGAGACAGUUCAUUUUCUUAUCCUUUUUUUUUUCCUCUACUUGUUUAAGGAUUCCGGAAAUUACAUAUUCAAUUUGUUAAUGGAAAUCUUCUUUAUAAAAGUUGGGUUUAUAAAAAUGAGUUGGCAUGAUUAUUUUAAAAAAAAAAAACAA